rnacentral:rRNA from 1 species
GACAGAGGAUGCAAGCGUUAUCCGGAAUGAUUGGGCGUAAAGCGUCUGUAGGUGGCUUUUUAAGUCCGCCGUCAAAUCCCAGGGCUCAACCCUGGACAGGCGGUGGAAACUACCAAGCUGGAGUACGGUAGGGGCAGAGGGAAUUUCCGGUGGAGCGGUGAAAUGCGCAGAUAUCGGGAAGAACACCCGUGGCGAAGGCGGCACUCUGGGACGGUACUGACGCUGAGACGCGAAAGCGUGGGGAGCGAACAGG